rnacentral:rRNA from 1 species
GUGCCAGCCGCCGCGGUAAUACGUAGGUGGCAAGCGUUGUCCGGAUUUAUUGGGCGUAAAGCGAGCGCAGGCGGUUUUUUAAGUCUGAUGUGAAAGCCUUCGGCUCAACCGAAGAAGUGCAUCGGAAACUGGGAAACUUGAGUGCAGAAGAGGACAGUGGAACUCCAUGUGUAGCGGUGAAAUGCGUAGAUAUAUGGAAGAACACCAGUGGCGAAGGCGGCUGUCUGGUCUGUAACUGACGCUGAGGCUCGAAAGUAUGGGUAGCAAACAGGAUUAGAUACCCUGGUAGUCCAUACCGUAAACGAUGAAUGCUAAGUGUUGGAGGGUUUCCGCCCUUCAGUGCUGCAGCUAACGCAUUAAGCAUUCCGCCUGGGGAGUACGGCCGCAAGGCUGAAACUCAAAGGAAUUGACGGGGGCCCGCACAAGCGGUGGAGCAUGUGGUUUAAUUCGAAGCUACGCGAAGAACCUUACCAGGUCUUGACAUACUAUGCAAAUCUAAGAGAUUAGACGUUCCCUUCGGGGACAUGGAUACAGGUGGUGCAUGGUUGUCGUCAGCUCGUGUCGUGAGAUGUUGGGUUAAGUCCCGCAACGAGCGCAACCCUUAUUAUCAGUUGCCAGCAUUAAGUUGGGCACUCUGGUGAGACUGCCGGUGACAAACCGGAGGAAGGUGGGGAUGACGUCAAAUCAUCAUGCCCCUUAUGACCUGGGCUACACACGUGCUACAAUGGAUGGUACAACGAGUUGCGAACUCGCGAGAGUAAGCUAAUCUCUUAAAGCCAUUCCCAGUUCGGAUUGUAGGCUGCAACUCGCCUACAUGAAGUCGGAAUCGCUAGUAAUCGCGGAUCAGCAUGCCGCGGUGAAUACGUUCCCGGGCCUUGUACACACCGCCCGU